UACGAAGGGGGCUAGCGUUGUUCGGAAUUACUGGGCGUAAAGCGCGCGCAGGCGGUCCUUUAAGUCGGGGGUGAAAGCCCAGAGCUCAACUCUGGAACUGCCUUCGAAACUAGAGGACUUGGGUACGGGAGAGGUGAGUGGAAUUCCUGGUGUAGCGGUGAAAUGCGCAGAUAUCAGGAAGAACACCCGUGGCUAAGGCGGCUCUCUAGUACGGUACUGACGCUGAGACGCGAAAGCGUGGGGAGCGAACAGG
rnacentral:rRNA from 1 species